rnacentral:rRNA from 1 species
CAGAGAGAUAUGGUAGAUGGGCUAGAAGAGCAUGACAUAUACUGUUGUGUCGAUAUUUUCUCCUCGGACCUUGAAAAUUUAUGGUGGGGACACGCAAACUUCUCAACAGGCCGUACCAAUAUCCGCAGCUGGUCUCCAAGGUGAAGAGUCUCUAGUCGAUAGAAUAAUGUAGGUAAGGGAAGUCGGCAAAUUAGAUCCGUAACUUCGGGGAUAAGGAUUGGCUCUGAAGAUUGAGAUAGUCGGGCUUGAUUGGGAAACAAUAACAUGGUUUAUGUGCUCGUUCUGGGUAAAUAGAGUUUCUAGCAUUUAUGUUAGUUACUUGUUCCCCGGAUAGUUUAGUUACGUAGCCAAUUGUGGAACUUUCUUGCUAAAAUUUUUAAGAAUACUAUUUGGGUUAAACCAAUUAGUUCUUAUUAAUUAUAACGAUUAUCAAUUAACAAUCAAUUCAGAACUGGCACGGACUUGGGGAAUCCGACUGUCUAAUUAAAACAAAGCAUUGUGAUGGCCCUAGCGGGUGUUGACACAAUGUGAUUUCUGCCCACCGCAACU